rnacentral:rRNA from 1 species
AGUGAACGCUGGCGGUAGGCCUAACACAUGCAAGUCGAACGGCAGCACAGUAAGAGCUUGCUCUUACGGGUGGCGAGUGGCGGACGGGUGAGGAAUACAUCGGAAUCUACUUUUUCGUGGGGGAUAACGUAGGGAAACUUACGCUAAUACCGCAUACGACCUACGGGUGAAAGCAGGGGAUCUUCGGACCUUGCGCGAUUGAAUGAGCCGAUGUCGGAUUAGCUAGUUGGCGGGGUAAAGGCCCACCAAGGCGACGAUCCGUAGCUGGUCUGAGAGGAUGGUCACCCACACGGGAACUGAGACACGGUCCAGACCCCUACGGGAGGACGCAGGGGGGAAUUUUGGAAAAGGGGCGCAAGCCUGAUCCCGCCAUCCCGCGGGGGGAAAGAAGGCCUUCGGGUUGUAAAGCCCUUUUGUUGGGAAAGAAAAGCAGCAGGUUAAUACCCCGCUGUUCUGGCGGUACCCAAAGAAUAAGCACCGGCUAACUUCGU